CCUCUCGGUGACGAAGAGCUGAUGUCUCACAUCCUCUCCGGGCUGGAUAUGGAGUACCAGCCGCUGAUUUCCGCCCUUGACGUCCGCACCGAGCUCGUCUCCCUCGACACCCUCUUUGCCCUCAUGUCCAACUUCGAUC
rfam:Triticum aestivum genome assembly, contig: Triticum_aestivum_CS42_TGACv1_scaffold_569828_7AS